GCGAGCUCCCGUGUCUGCUGCGCGCGAGCUCGUCCAGCUGCUGGUGGUCACGUCGCAAUUUGUUCUCCAAGGUUUCCUGGACUGCUCAUUCUUUAACGCCGAUGUGGCAGUUCGUCAGGUAUGGUGAGAAUGUACUAGAAGCUAAGAGGAAUCCUAAUUGGACAACUCUAGUUUGCCGUGGCAUUUGAAAUUGCAGUAUUUGCAGAGCUAAGAGGGGAUGGUUCUGUACAGGCAUUGCAUAUAGGAAGUUGAUUGUUUCUAGUGGUAGUGUAGUCUUAUUGUUCAUGUGUGAAAGAUGUAUGUGUGAAACUUGGAAAGGAAUAAAAGAUACCAUGCUUCAUUUGCUGGUGCGUA